GGAUAUACAGCGAAGAAUCACUCGGCCAAAAUCACCUUGGUCACAAGCUACUUCUUUUAGAUUUUGUGAUUGUCUAUCGUGAUCUUGACUUCACUGUGAAUUUUCACUGUCUAUCCGACAUGCACCGACUAGUAGUAGAACUCUCAUUCCAAUCUAUCUCUUUCAUCUCUUCAAUUAUUCAAUCUUCCAAAAUUGUUAUCUUUUAGUAGUUUAUAUGUUUUUGUGUAAAGCUCUACCAAAAUACCCUCGUUUUUCUCAUCAUUUUCUCUCUAGCUGCAGAAUAUGAGGGGAAAACGUAGGUAUUUUGCUAAUGUUAAUUGUAUACAAGCAUUUUAAUUUUUUUUUAUAAGGAUCCAGGUGAUGAUCAUCAUGAAGCUGGUAAUAGAAGUUCAAUAUUGGAGGGAAUCUUUUCUGAGAUCAUAUAUAUCAGAACUUUGCUUUGCCUCACUGUCACGACAAAGAGUUGGAUGAUAGAUUAAAAUUGGGCUAUGCCCGGAAAAGAAAAGAAACUAUACUAAGAUAGUGCGAGGGAAAGUGAUUCCCAUCCGAUCAAAAAACAAAAGAUUCAAGCAGCUAGGAGGAGGGGUCUCAGAGCAGUGCAACCCCAAACUGAGGACAUGAGAUUCAUUUGCCAGACAAUCUGCAACUUGGUUCGCCUCACGUAGGAUAUGAACACAAACAACAUUCCAAUCUCGAGCCAGGAAGACACGAAUCUGAUUCACAAGGGACGCGUACGGGUGAAGGAUAGCACAACCCUCAUUUAUCAGAUUCACAGCAACAAGAGAGUCACUCUCAACCAUGAUCCUACGCCAACCCCUAUCCCAGGCAAGAGUCACCAUGGUAAAGAUCGCCCAGAGCUCAGUCGAAAGAACGUUAGAAGAGCCCAGAUUUCUGCUAAAACCAAACACCCAGUUGUCGUGGUGGUCGCGACACACACCUCCACAACCCGCCGAAUUGGUUGGACCACGAACAGAGCCAUCAGUAUUGCAUUUUAGCCAAGCAUCCGGCGGGGGCUUCCAACCAAUCUGAAUCAUCUCAUAACGACGAGCACUAGCCGCGACUGGAUCUUGGAGAACACGCAAGCUAUGAGCGUAGUCCAGCUUUGUUUUCAUGGCCAUAGGUAUCAUGCACCUUAAAUCAAACGGAGUUCCCUGGAAGACAAAAUUAGCACGCGACUUCCAGAUGGCCCAAAGAAGGAGAGCGAACUCUGGAGGGCCACUCCUGCCCAUCGAGUGCAGACAAUUCGAUUGCAGGUUCCUCAUUACCCAAACUUUCAGGUCACCGGCGAAGAACUCACUCAUAUGCUGCUGAUCAAUCAAAUGCAACCAUAGCGGUUUCACCUUAGAGCAAUCCCGGAAUAGAUGAAGAGGAGUUUCAUCAGCUUCAUCACAAAGCGGGCACGUCGGUGUGGUCGUCAGGUUCGAUUGCCAGCGUCUGUAGUUAACCCAAAGCCCAUUAUGAAGAAGUCUCCACACAAAGUUGCAGACCUUGAAUGGGCCCUUCAAACCCCACACAUAAUUCCACUCCCUCGACUGGGUGCUCACUUGCGAGGUGCUCAAGGCAUCAUAAGCUGAUUUUGAUGAGAAGCUACCAUCACUCGUAAGGCCCCAAAUAACUCUGUCCCUCCCAAUGUUUGGCGCCGGCGGUGGCAUAGUGUGAGUUUUUAAUUUACCUAUUGGCAGUAUAUAUUUACUAUUUAGAUACCCAAAGAAUAAAACAAGGGUUGUUCUCGUAUUCUGGUACUACCAAAGAGCCAUGUAUAUGUAUCAUUAUGUGGUGGUGAAGAAGACAUAUCUAAUUAAUAAAAAGUUGGCAGUGUGUCGUAGUCUGGUACAUAA